rnacentral:rRNA from 1 species
GACGAACGCUGGCGGCGUGCUUAACACAUGCAAGUCGAACGGAAAGGCCCUGCUUUUGUGGGGUGCUCGAGUGGCGAACGGGUGAGUAACACGUGAGUAACCUGCCCUUGACUUUGGGAUAACUUCAGGAAACUGGGGCUAAUACCGGAUAGGAGCUCCUGCUGCAUGGUGGGGGUUGGAAAGUUUCGGCGGUUGGGGAUGGACGCGCGGCUUAUCAGCUUUUUGGUGGGGUAGUGGCUUACCAAGGCUUUGACGGGUAGCCGGCCUGAGAGGGUGACCGGCCACAUUGGGACUGAGAUACGGCGCAGACUCCUACGGGAGGCAACAGUGGAGAAUAUUGCAGAAUGGGCGGAAGCCUGAUGCAGAAACGCCGCGUGCGGGAUGACGGCCUUCGGGUUGUAAACCGCUUUCGCCUGUGACGAAGCGUGAGUGACGGUAAUGGGUAAAGAAGCACCGGCUAACUACGUG